rnacentral:rRNA from 1 species
GUGCACCAGGCGCGAAACUUUACAAUGUGCGAAAGCACGAUAAGGGAACUCUGAGUGCCUCCUAAGGAGGCUGUUCAGGUGUCUAAAAGCACCUGAAGGAAGGGCUGGGUAAGACCGGUGCCAGCCCGCCGCGGUAACACCGGCAGCCCAAGUGGUAGCCACGUUUAUUGGGUCUAAAGCGUCCGUAGCCGGCUGGGUAAGUUCCUUGGGAAUUUGGCUGCUUAACAGUCAAGCUUUCAGGGAAUACUGCCC